rnacentral:rRNA from 1 species
AUGGCAAAGAGCGGCAAGUUGGUGUUACUGAAGACAGGGCUGACCUCACUGGCAAUAUAUAUGAUGACCGUGCACAAAUUACCAGCCUGGGUGAUAAAGCCCAUGUCGCAGAUUUGUCGUGCCUGGCUCUGGAACGGGGACAAUACCUGCAACGGUGGGAAUUGCAGGGUGUCAUGGAGCUUGAUCUGCCGCCCCAAACAUCUUGGUGGCCUGGGUGUCCUAGACAUUGCCAAAUUUGGUCGGGCUCUUAGGCUACACUGGCUUUGGCUGGCAUGGCAACGUCCGCCGCGACCGUGG